CCUACGGGGGGCAGCAGGCGCGAAAACUUUACAAUGCGGGAAACCGUGAUAAGGGGACACCGAGUGCCAGCAUCAUAUGCUGGCUGUCCGGAUGUGUAAAAUACAUCCGUUAGCAAGGGCCGGGCAAGACCGGUGCCAGCCGCCGCGGUAACACCGGCGGCCCGAGUGGUGAUCGUGAUUAUUGGGUCUAAAGGGUCCGUAGCCGGUUUGGUCAGUCCUCCGGGAAAUCUGAUAGCUCAACUAUUAGGCUUUCGGGGGAUACUGCCAGACUUGGAACCGGGAGAGGUAAGAGGUACUACAG
rnacentral:rRNA from 1 species